ACAGUCGCACAUUUUCUACCAAGCCUAUCUAUCUGUAUUUGAAUAGCUUUUGACGUGAUGUCAUUUCGGAGUAACAUGACAGCAAAUAGGACCCAGCAGAGCUCUCCGGCGAACCUCACCUGUUCCCAAACGCACUUUUACUUUUCUACCUGAAGUCUCCUGCAUAAUACCGACAUCUGUCAGGCUUAAAGAUAACGGCAUGUUUUCUGCACUGCUCUGCAGUUUGUUGCUCCUGCACGGCUCGCUCGGGGAGAUCGUGUUCCGCUGCCCGAGCUGCACCGCGGAGCGCCAGGCGGCGUGUCCCAAGCUCACCACCUCUUGCGAGAUUGUCAGGGAACCGGGUUGCGGUUGCUGUCCGGUUUGUGCCAGGCAGAAGGGCGAGCUGUGCGGAGUCUACACGCCGAGAUGCGGCAGCGGUUUGAGGUGUUACCCAAGCGCCAAUUCAGAGUUACCGCUGGAGCAGCUGAUACAGGGACUCGGGCGAUGCGAGAACAAAGUAGACCUGGAGCCCACCAUGACCAACCAGGAGUCAUGGCACAGCGGAGAAGUAAAUAGCACACGGUUCCCUCCAGUGAAGAAGCCUGGCAAAGAAAACAACUACCAGCACAUUAAGGAAAUAGCUGUGAAGCAGCAUCACAACAACAAGAGGACCAGGAUGUACAGCUCCCUGGAUGAUCCCAAAACACCUCACUCCAGACAGAGCCAGUGUCAACAGGAGCUGGAUAGAGUUUUGGAGAACAUCUCCCGAAUUACAUUCCAUGACAACAAGGGACCUUUGGAAAAUCUUUAUGACCUGAAGUUCCCCAACUGUGACAAGACAGGACAGUACAACCUUAAGCAGUGCAACAUGUCCAGCCAUGGACAGAGGGGCGAGUGUUGGUGUGUCAACCCUUACACUGGUGUCCAGAUACCCUCAUCCCCCAAAGUGAGGGGGGACCCCAACUGCAGCCAAUACUACGGUGGUCCUGAGCUGGAACCGCCCACCAGCCAGCAGAAAUAGAUGCACCCUUGCCCAUAAGGAAGAUGCCCCGGGUUGCAAACGAGGAGAGUUAAAGCGAGUGCCAGAGCGAUGUGCAUGUGUGUAAUUCUGUACGUGUAUGUGUAUGUAUAUUUUCGCAAUAGUAUGAUCUGUGUUGUCGAUAGGAAUGUGGAAAGUCACAUGCCAGCAAAGACAAGCAAGUCAAGGACAGUUGCUUCAGACUGAGAGGUGCCAUGUACGUGAGUUGCUAUACGGUGUUACUGCAAAUAGCUGCCCCAUCUAACCAAUUGGAGUGCAAGGUACAAUAGUCCCGAAAUGUCAAACAAUUGCUAAAUUAAAAAUGAGGCCCCUUUUUGACACAUAUUACUGAUCUUCAUUACGCAUCAUUUAUUUUGAAAUGGAAGUGUGUUUUUACAAUCAAUAAUUGCAGUCGCUUCCAAAGAUCUCAAGAUCUGGAAAACCCUGUUCUUGGUGACUGAUAGACCUCUGUUCAUGCUGCUUCUCUACCAUUUGGUGUAUGUGUGUGUUUAUAGAGUGGGGAUCAGCAUUUACUAAUGAUGCGCUGACAGAGGGCUAGAUUAGAACACAAGGCUGACAUUGAUAAAUGUGAUAUAAAGUGGGUUAAGUGCCUAUAAAUAAACACAGGUUUGCCUGCAGUGCCAGCGGCUGUGCCUCACCUUGCUUCACUCUCAUCUGCAGAGGGAUGUGUUGGCGGUAGGUAAGGGUGAUUUUGCCCAGUGUAACACUUGAACGGGGUUAGUUGGAGAGUCCUGUGAAGGAAUG